AACGAACGCUGGCGGCGCGCCUAAUACAUGCAAGUCGAGCGAGAAGACGUAGCAAUACGUUUGUAAAGCGGCGAACGGGUGAGGAAUACAUGGGUAACCUACCCUCGAGUGGGGAAUAACUAGCCGAAAGGUUAGCUAAUACCGCGUACGCUCCUUGGACUUCGGUUCAGGGAGGAAAGCGAUACCGUGGGUAUCGCGCUCUUGGAUGGGCUCAUGUCCUAUCAGCUUGNGGUGAGGUAACGGCUCACCAAGGCUUCGACGGGUAGCUGGUCUGAGAGGACGAUCAGCCACACUGGCACUGCGACACGGGCCAGACUCCUACGGGAGGCAGCAGUAAGGAAUAUUGCGCAAUGGGCGAAAGCCUGACGCAGCGACGCCGC
rnacentral:rRNA from 1 species